AACACCCACCGCGGCGCCACGCCGACUUAUAUACCAGCGAGUGUGGGCGGGGACGGGGGUUCGGUCCGCGCUGGGCCCCCCCAGCUUCUGCCAAUGAGGAAGAAGCGAGUCUACGCCGUUUUCCCGGGGAGAUGCGCCGCCCGGUCUCCCUGCCAGCGGAGUGCUGGGCCGAGGACAGGGCGGCAGGGGUGACAGUGGGGUCCAGGAGAGUCUCAAAAUCCUAAGCUUUCAGUAUUUGUUAUUGUGAAAGAAGUUAAUUCACCUGAAACAGAGGAGGGGCAACCUGAGUUAUCAGAAAGUGACUUCCUGGCCUUCCCUUCUUUACUGAUCAGAGGCACACAAAGCGUAGUUUCUAAGCUGAAUGAUGACAACGUUGCAGAAUAAAGAAGCCCUAACUCCCCUAAGGAGGAGACCCCGGGGAUCAGUUCCCCAGAGACAGAGGCCAGGAUAAGCCUGCCAAAGGCCAGUUUAAAGAAGAAAGAGGAAAAAGCAACCAUGAAGAAUGUUCCAAGCAGGGAACAGGAGAAAAAAAGAAAGGCACAAAUCAACAAGCAAGCAGAGAAGAAAGAAAAGGAAAAAUCAAGUCUUACCAAUGCAGAAUUUGAGGAGAUUGUCCA
rnacentral:lncRNA from 1 species